UAGCUCAGUGGUAGAGCGCAUGCUUUGCAUGUUUAAGGCCCCGGGUUCAAUCCCCGG
rnacentral:tRNA from 1 species